UGAGGAAUUUUGCGCAAUGGGGGAAACCCUGACGCAGCGACGCCGCGUGGAGGAAGAAGUCCUUCGGGAUGUAAACUCCUGUCAGUGGGGGCGAUAAUGACGGUGCCCACAGAGGAAGCACCGGCUAACUCCGUGCCAGCAGCCGCGGUAAGACGGAGGGUGCAAGCGUUGUUCGGAAUUACUGGGCGUAAAGCGUACGUAGGCGGUUAAUUAAGUCAAAUGUGAAAGCCCGGGGCUCAACCCCGAGGAUGCAUUUGAUACUGGUUAACUAGAGGGCGAUAGAGGAAAGCGGAAUUCCCAGUGUAGCGGUGAAAUGCGUAGAUAUUGGGAGGAACAUCGGUGGCGAAGGCGGCUUUCUGGGUCGUUCCUGACGCUGAGGUACGAAAGCGUGGGGAGCAAACGGGAUUAGAUACCCCGGUAGUCCACGCUGUAAACGAUGGAUACUAGGUGUAGUGGGUAUCGACCCCUGCUGUACCGUAGCUAACGCGUUAAGUAUCCCGCCUGGGGAGUACGCACGCAAGUGUG
rnacentral:rRNA from 1 species